CGUUACCAAAACCAUAACAAAGCAUGUUACCCGAAAGAAUAAAGAAAAUACUAGAAAUUAAUUCAAUUAUUUAAGAUACGUGCCGAUUGAGCUGGACACCCAUCAUAAGACCCUCCGAAUCGGUGGAUUCCACAUGUUCACAAAUCUCUCUUGUUAUGAGAAUAGUACUCCACUUGAGAGCGCGCCAACUCGCAAGGCCCUCGUGGAACCCGCCAUUAACGACGUUUACAAGCUAUGAAGCCCUUCUAAAAUCUCUCACUCAGCCUUCUAUUGCACUCCCACCCCUCCAACAACUCCAUGCUCUCAUAAUCACUAAUGGCCUCUCUUUCAAAUCAGUGCUGUCAUGCAAACUCAUCUCGUCCUACUUGUCAAUCUCUGGUCUUCAGUGUGCCCGUAAGGUGUUCGACUUUUUGCCUAAGAGAACCACCCAUGCUUACAAUCACAUAUUGAGUGCCUAUGUUGAUGAAGAACAUUAUAGUGCUGUCUUCAAGUUGUAUUUGCAGAUGUUAUCUGCUGGUGAAGUGUUGCCAGAUGUUGUUACUUUUAGUAUACUGCUCAAGGCAUGUGUUGCAGUGAAUUUUUUGAGUUGUGGUAAGCUUGUUCAUGCUCAUGUUUUGGUCUCUGGAUUGGAAUCUGAUUUGCGGUUGGGUACAGAUAUUUUGUCUGUGUACUCUAAAUGUGGAAGUUUAGAUUUUGCGGUCAAGCAGUUUGGGUUGAUGCCUUGGAGAGAUGCAUAUGUUUGGACCGCUAUGGUGGAUGGAUAUUUGCGAUCGGGUUGUGUUGCUGAGGCUCUUGAUAUGUUUGGCAAGAUGAGAGAGUUGGGUAUGGCAGAUAGUGUAGUUACCUGGAAUGCUUUGAUGUCCGGGCUUGCUCGUGAGGGGCUCAUCUGUGACUCGUUGUUUCAAUUGUAUCAAAUGCAAGAAGCUAGUUUAAGGCCUGACAAAGUGAGCCUGUGUACAAUUCUGCCAAUGUUUGGCCAGGCUGCUGUUUUGAAACCAGGGCAAGAAGCUCAUGCUUAUGUGAUUAGGAAUGGUAUGGAGUUGGAUUUGUUAAUUAUUAGCGCUCUUGUGGACAUGUAUGCAAAAUGUGGGAAAUUGGUGCUAGCUAGAUGCAUCUUUGAGAAGGCGGUUGUAAAAGAUGCAGGUUUGUGGAAUGCAAUGAUGGCUGGAUAUGGAAUGCAUGGAUAUUCUGAUGAAGCCUUAAGUCUUUUCCAUCGGAUGAGGGUUUCAGAUGUAAGACCUAAUGAGAUUACUUUAACUUGUAUCCUUUCGGCCUGUAGCCAUGGCGGGUUGGUAACUGAGGGCAGAUACAUUUAUGAUAUUAUGAUUUCUGAAUACAAAAUUGUGGCACGUCAGCAGCACUAUGUUUGCAUGGUUGACAUGCUUGGUCGGGCUGGGUACUUGGUAGAUGCAUUUUUGUUCAUUAAGAACUUGCCAGCAGAACCCACAAGAGAUAUAUGGGGAGCUUUUUUAAGUGCUUGUAAAGUCCACUCUAAUGCUAAGCUAGCAGAGAUUGCCAAUGAAAACCUGAUGAAAUUGAACUCAACUAGUGUCGAUGCUGGAUAUCAUGUGGCAAUGUCAAAUGUUUAUGCAGAGAAUGGCCGAUGGAGUGAAAUGGCCCAGUUGAGAACUCAAAUGAGAGAUGUAGGAUUGAAGAAAAGAGUGGCAUAUAGUUGGGUUGAGGUUGGGAAUUCUGUUCAUACUUUCAGUAUGGCUGAUGAGUCGCAUGGUCAUGCGGAUGAGAUAUAUGCGAUGGUGAUGAGCCUAAAUGGCAUCAUUUCUAAACAGUUCAUUUCACAUGAUGAUUCAUUCUAGAAGUAUCUCUCUACCUUUCAAUACGGGUCUGCCUUUCCAUUUUGAAGGGGUGAGAUACAGUUUGCAGUCUUUGCUUAGCCUCCUGGAUUAUGAGAAUGAUGCACACAAUUGCUGCUCAUACAUCUAACAACCAAAUGACUCCAUCUGCUGUUGCUGCCUGCAUUGCACCAUUGUUAUUGCGGCCACUUUUAGCUGGUCAAUGUGAGCUGGAUGAUGACUUUAAUGUAAAUGGUGAUAAAUUCUGCUCAGCUACUGGCAGCAGCAAAUGCUGCUAACAAUGCUCAAGCAAUCAUUACUAUUAUCUUGGAAGAGCAUGACAACAUAUUGACCGUAAGUUGUGAACAUAAAUACUUCAUUUGAUAGUUCUAAACGCUGUAUCAGCUUGGCAUAGUAUGUGUUUUUUAGUCAUGUAUUGGUAUAAUGGUGUUGCGCUUCCACUGGACUAGAAAAUUGUGGUAGCAGGUGAUCUUUUUAAAAGGGAGUAAAGGGACUAGAGAGAUACACUGGCAGGAAAUUAGCAUAAGGACACAAACGUUCAUUUUGGUUCAUUCUGUUCAAGGGUUAACUCUUUGGGCUAAUCUAAUGGAGCAGUUACACCAAUUGUUGAAAACUUAACUCAUCUGGGCAAAUUACCAGGGCUGUGCAUGUACUGGAUUGGUUUUAGAUAUUUCAUUAUUUGGUGUGGUCCUCAUAAAAUUUCUAAAUGCCUUCAAGAAGCUUUAGCACAGAUUAUAUUCAUUAGUAGCAACUAACAAUGUGCAAAUAAAAAUAUGCCUUAGCAUAUGCCAUAUUUUGUUCAACAUUCAGCUAGGAUUAUGUCGACCAACUUAAUCCUUUGUCAUGAUCAGUGUCACUUACCGUAUUUUGGCGCCAAUUAUUCCAAAGAAUUUGAGAUUCAAAAACUAAUCUGGGUUUAACUGCAUGAGUUCAUGUUACAGCAAAUACCUUUGGUUUAUUUCUGCCUUUUUUUUUGUUGGGUUCAUUGUUUAAUCGAUAAAUGGCUCUCACAAUAAACAUGAUUGUGAUCACUUGUAAGAAACAGCGUUCCUUAUGUACCAGAUGAAGCUUGAGGUGGAUCUUAAGAAUGGGUUCUUUUGAUAACUAUUUGUGUUUGUCCUUAUGCUUGUACAAUACCUUUUUCUGAUCAAUGUUGCUGCCCAACUGGGCAUCUUUGCCUACUUGUAAGAAAAGCUUUCCUUAUUUAUAA